GGGGAUAUAGCUCAGUUGGUAGAGCGCUGCCUUUGCAAGGCAGAUGUCAGCGGUCCGAGUCCGCUUAUCUCCA
rnacentral:tRNA from 2 species